CGGAGGGUGCAAGCGUUAUCCGGAUUUACUGGGUUUAAAGGGUGCGUAGGUGGGUCGGUAAGUCAGCGGUGAAAUCUUCGAGCUUAACUCGGAAACUGCCAUUGAUACUAUCGAUCUUGAAUCAUCUAGAGGUAAGCGGAAUAUGUCAUGUAGCGGUGAAAUGCUUAGAUAUGACAUAGAACACCAAUUGCGAAGGCAGCUUACUAUGGAUGUAUUGACACUGAGGCACGAAAGCGUGGGGAUCAAACAGGA
rnacentral:rRNA from 1 species